rnacentral:rRNA from 1 species
GACGAACGCUGGCGGCGUGCUUAACACAUGCAAGUCGAACGGAAAGGCCCUGCUUUUGUGGGGUGCUCGAGUGGCGAACGGGUGAGUAACACGUGAGUAACCUGCUCUUGACUUUGGGAUAACUUCAGGUAACUGGGGCUACUACCGUAUAGGAUCUCCUGCUGCAUGGUGGGGGUUGGAUCGUUUCGGCGGUUGGGGAUGGACUCGCGGCUUAUCAGCUUGUUGGUGGGGUAGUGGCUUACCAAGGCUUUGACGGGUAGCCGGCCUGAGAGGGUGACCGGCGACAAUGGGACUGAGAGACGGACCAGACGCCUACGGGAGGCAGUAGUGGGGAAUAUUGCACAAUGGGAGGAAGCCUGAUGAAGAAACGCCGCGUGCGGGAUGACGGCCUGCGGGUUGUAAACAGCUUUAGCCUGAGACGAAGCGUGAGUGACGGUAAUGGGUAAAGAAGCACCGGCUAACUACGUG